GAGAGGUCCAGAAGAC
rnacentral:tRNA from 1 species